UAGCUCAGUGGUAGAGCCCUUGCCUACCAUGCAUGAAGCCCUGGGUUCAAGCCCCAG
rnacentral:tRNA from 1 species